UACGAAGGGGGCUAGCGUUGUUCGGAAUUACUGGGCGUAAAGCGCACGUAGGCGGAUUUGUUAGUCAGGGGUGAAAUCCCGGGGCUCAACCUCGGAACUGCCUUUGAUACUGCAAAUCUCGAGUCCGGAAGAGGUGAGUGGAAUUCCUAGUGUAGAGGUGAAAUUCGUAGAUAUUAGGAAGACCACCAGUGGCGAAGGCGGCUCACUGGUCCGGUACUGACGCUGAGGUGCGAAAGCGUGGGGGGCAAACAGG
rnacentral:rRNA from 1 species